UACGUAGGGUGCAAGCGUUAAUCGGAAUUACUGGGCGUAAAGCGUGCGCAGGCGGUUAUGCAAGACAGAUGUGAAAUCCCCGGGCUUAACCUGGGAACUGCAUUUGUGACUGCGUGACUAGAGUAUGGUAGAGGGGGAUGGAAUUCCGCAUGUAGCAGUGAAAUGCGUAGAUAUGUGGAGGAACACCGAUGGCGAAGGCAAUCCCCUGGACCUGUACUGACGCUCAUGCACGAAAGCGUGGGGAGCAAACAGG
rnacentral:rRNA from 1 species